rnacentral:rRNA from 1 species
AUACGGAGGACGCGAGCGUUAUCCGGAUUCAUUGGGUUUAAAGGGUGCGCAGGCGGCCGUGCAAGUCAGCGGUGAAAGCCCGGGGCUCAACCCCGGAAGUGCCGUUGAUACUGCGUAGCUGGAAUGCGGUCGAGGCGGGCGGGACGGGGCGGGGAGCGGUGGAAUGCGUAGAUAUGGCACAGAACGCCGAUGGCGGAGGCAGCUCGCCAGGCCUGCAUUGACGCUCGGGCACGAAAGCGUGGGGAUCGAACAGGAUUAGAUACCCGGGUAGUCCACGCCGUAAACGAUGGGCGCUCGUCGUCGGCGACAGACAGUCGGCGGCCAAGCGAAAGCGAUAAGCGCCCCACCUGGGGAGUACGGUCGCAAGGCUGAAACUCAAAUGAAUUGACGGGG